rnacentral:rRNA from 1 species
GAUGAACGCUGGCGGCGUGCCUAAUACAUGCAAGUCGAGCGAACAGACGAGGAGCUUGCUCCUCUGACGUUAGCGGCGGACGGGUGAGUAACACGUGGAUAACCUACCUAUAAGACUGGGAUAACUUCGGGAAACCGGAGCUAAUACCGGAUAAUAUAUUGAACCGCAUGGUUCAAUAGUGAAAGACGGUUUUGCUGUCACUUAUAGAUGGAUCCGCGCCGCAUUAGCUAGUUGGUAAGGUAACGGCUUACCAAGGCAACGAUGCGUAGCCGACCUGAGAGGAUGAUCGGCCACACUGGAACUGAGACACGGUCCAGACUCCUACGGGAGGCAGCAGUAGGGAAUCUUCCGCAAUGGGCGAAAGCUUGACGGAGCCACGCCGCGUGAGUGAUGAAGGUCUUCGGAUCGUAAAACUCUGUUAUUAGGGAAGAACAAAUGUGUAAGUAACUAUGCACGUCUUGACGGUACCUAAACAGAAAGCCACGGCUAACUACGUG